AUUGCAUGCUGGCGGCAGGCCUAAUACAUGCAAGUCGAGCGAGCGGCGGACGGGUGAGUAAUGUAUGGGGACUGCCCGAUAGAGGGGGAUAACUACUGGAAACGGUAGCUAAUACCGCAUACUAUCGGAUAACCCAUAUGGGAUUAGCUAGUAGGUGAGGUAAUGGCUCACCUAGGCGACGAUCCCUAGCUGGUCUGCGAGGAUGAUCAGCCACACUGUGACUGAUGCGCGGCCCAGACUCCUACGGAGGCAGCAGUGGGGAAUAUUGCACAAUGGGAGCGAGCCUGAUGCAGCAAUGCCGGGUGUAUGAAGAAGGCCUUCGGGUUGUAAAGUACUUUCAGCGGGGAGGCGUUACCCGCAGAAGAAGCACCGGCUAACGCCAUGCCAGCAGCCGCGGUAAUAC
rnacentral:rRNA from 1 species